CCCUUAGAUGUUCUGGGCCGCACGCGCGCUACAAUGGUCUUCGCAAACGGAUGCAUUCUCGAAGGAGAAUGCCAAUCUUGGAAUCUAUGCCUUGGUCGGGACAGUUGCUUGCAAUUUUUCGACUCGAACCAGGAAUUCCUUGUAGUCGUGAUUCAUCACAUCACGAUGAAUACGUCCCUGCCCUUUGUACACACCGCCCGUCGCUCCUACCGAUCGAAGAGUUAGGUGAAUUGUUUUGAUCGAUAAGAUUUGACUAUGGUCAACUCUCGUUGUGAAAUUCUGUGAAUCUGACUGUUUAGAGGAAGGAAAAGUCGUAACA
rnacentral:rRNA from 1 species